GAGGGAGACAAACCGUAGGAAAAUGUGAAGGUGAAAUGUGGCUCGACAAGACCCGCCUAGAAGAAACCAAGCGCUUGCGUGAGAAGACAAGGGGAAUUAAUGAAGGGCCCCACCUUAAAGAGGGCUGCACAAAGCGAACCGACUCCUUUGUUUGCGGCAGCGAGGCACUGUAUAAAACCUCGGCGCGCCACUGACGCCAACCCAGGGGCAGACUGGAUUCCGCGCGAACGGCGUCUGACAAAAUGGGGACUUUCAAGGUGUUCACGCUUAUUUUACUGCUUGGAAGCAUCAGCCUGCCCGCCUCUCUGGCACAACCUACCCCAGAUGAAAACGAUCCACCCGGCCCCGAUCCGGUGACACCUGCGCCCGAUCCUGUAUCUUCCGGGCCCGGUCCGUCGUCCGCACCCGAUCCGUCACCGUCUUCCGGGCCCGGUUCGUCAACGACCGAGGGCCCGUCAUCGACUACAUCCGACCCAACCACCAAUGGGGGACUCACGUGUGUGACUCCAGAUUUCCUUCUCGGUUUAAAGCUCAACCAGGAUGUCGGCCUUUCCUUGCGUGUUUUUGGAAACAGAGUUUGGAUUGAGGGGGUGGAUUAUUCGAGCGGAUUCCCUGACCAUAGCACGCAUUCAGACGGAACCCCGGGUUCGGGUUCGGGCCAGACUCCUCCCCCACCCCCUCCCCCUCCCCCCCAAGGUGCCACCCCGGAUGACAGAAAGUAAUCGGCACGCCUGCCUUCCAGCUGCAGCUCCAUUGUUGCUUUCUUUCCUUUUGAAACUUAAGACGCCAUCAAGACUUUUCUGUCGCUUGCCUUCUCCUCAAAUCGGUUGCUCGUAAUCAUCAUGUAGUCAUUCCGGGGUGACAUGAAAACACUCGAUUGGUUUCCAUGCCGUUUGCACGCUCACUUUUGGUGAACUUUUGUCGCUUCAAUAAAACUCAUGAGCUCAG